rnacentral:rRNA from 1 species
GUAGGUGGCAAGCGUUGUCCGGAAUUAUUGGGCGUAAAGCGCGCGCAGGCGGUCCUUUAAGUCUGAUGUGAAAGCCCACGGCUCAACCGUGGAGGGUCAUUGGAAACUGGGGGACUUGAGUACAGAAGAGGAAAGCGGAAUUCCAAGUGUAGCGGUGAAAUGCGUAGAGAUUUGGAGGAACACCAGUGGCGAAGGCGGCUUUCUGGUCUGUAACUGACGCUGAGGCGCGAAAGCGUGGGGAGCAACCAGGGAUUAGAUACCCUGGUAGUCCACGCCGUAAACGAUGAGUGCUAAGUGUUAGGGGGUUUCCGCCCCCUUAGUGCUGCAGCUAACGCAUUAAGCACUCCGCCUGGGGAUACGGCCGCAAGGCUG